rnacentral:lncRNA from 1 species
UUUAACCCUCGGAGACUCCACGAUUGUUAAGUUUCAUGGAUCACAUAUGCAGCCCAGCUACACGGUGCUUCACAGUGGAGAGAAGGAACGUUAAUGUGUAAUAACGUAUCAAUGAGUUCUAUGGAGUUCUACAGAGAAAGAUGGAGACUGGCAGCGUGCCCUGUGAAUCAGAUGUUCUGAGACAGUCUUUCUGGGCGAAUGGUGUGAUGAAUCAUUCAAGUACAAACAUGGAGGGAGCACUGUCCUGGCCAAGAAGCCGGAAUAAAAACUGUAACACCAGGGCCCUGCUGAGGUGUACUGGGCUCUGCAGAACAAUGGCGGUCAUGUGAGCCUAUGAAUCUGUGUCACAUGCUCUGGGGCAGGGGAGUUGGGUGAGACCCAUGUGAGCACUGGAGGAAUGAACUGGCUGCUGACGGUGGUGAAACUAACGCCAUCUCCACAGUUCUGUGGAAGAAAGAGAUGUUGUAAAGAGGAGGUCUGUCCAGCGGUUCAACCUAGCCCGAAGGAACGAGUCUGCUUUUUCUUGUUCACACAACUAAUAUUGGCCAUCAGUCUAGGUGGCUCACUUGCUUGGAGAGAUACUAAGGAAGACUCUACUUCUGAAGUACAGAUAGACUUCUGGAGAGUGCCUGGAAGUAGUAAAAUGAAUCCAAAAGUUGUGGGCAUAAUCUUGUUAAGGUGCUAUUUCUACUGUGGACAGUGGAAUCUACACAGGAGAAAAGAAUCAAAAGGAAAGUCUGAUCUUUUAUCCUUCCAUGGAGGUCAUUAUUAUACUGUAAAAGGAUCCCAGGUCAUCCUAUCAGCACCAAGGCAGAGGAUCACUGCUGAACUGGAGCCAGGAGUAGGAGCAAGUGACUCAUACAAGAGGAAGACUUGGGUUUACCUGUGAAGCGAACAUCAUUUUUAAUGAAACAACUCAGAGGGAGAUGACUGGACCAGUUUGACUUUCUUGUUGCUGUGGCACAAUGCCUAGCAAGAGCUACUUACAAAGCAGCACCGUUUAUUCUGACUCCCAUUUCAAAAGUUACAGGUUCAUGGCCAGUGGUGAGGCAGAGUAUCACAGUGGUUGCAUAUGGUGGGAUGGAAGGA